AGCCAGGGUCGUGGGCGUCGUCGGGCCUUGUCCAAGUCAACCGGCUUUACCUUCCUGCUGUGGGAACACAGAACAUAAAUUGCACAUAGGCUGGGAACUUUUCUAAAGCAGCAACCAAAGAAUGAGUGAAGAAGUGAUGACAUCUGUUCUCUGCUCAUACCCUCAGUUCUUGCCCAUAAAGCACAACAAAUAAGAAUAUUCCUGGGAAAAUAACACACCCACCAUGUCUACAAAAGGAGCUGCAUAGCAGUUGGAGCACCUAGCAACUUCACGGAAAUGAAACAAACUUCCACUUCCCCUGGCAAGAAAUGAUAACUACCAUUCAGCAGUCGUUUGCCCAGAAGAUCUCGGCCCGCUCCCUGGUCCCCAGCAAUCCUGGCAGAUAGAAGUUCUGACCCUCACUUCUGGAGGAGCUCAGAGCCUUGAUUUCAGCCACACAUCUGAGAUUCAUCGUCUUAUUCCUCUGUUUAUCACCUUCCAGGGGUUCCCUGGGACUUAAGGAUCACGUAUGAAGUCCCACACGAAGCCGGCAGGCUCUUAAACUUGAAGACAUUUCUCCAA